AGGAUGAGAAAACAACCCUUUGCCAAAACAGCGCUGAGUUCCGAAAGCUUCUGGCUCCUGAAGACAAGCCGGUGUGCAUUCCCAGAAGCUUCCAGACCUUGCCUCACACUGACAGAACUCAGAGAAAACUUUGGAUCUGCCGAUCUUUACAGCACAUCACAGGUCCUGCUUUGGGAGAGAAGUCAAGAGAAGGAACCAGAUGAGAAAGAGGACUUCCUGAAGACAAGGAAGAGGAAAUGUGGGGAUGCCGUGCAUUCAUGUUCGCAGCCCUGAGUGUCCACCUGUGAAGGCCAGUGCGUGGUCCUCUUCUACUCCUGUCCUACGCCUUGUUCCCCCGAGGCAGCAUCUCUCACAGAAUGAAGAGCAUGCUGCUGUCCAUCAAGGCUAGCAGGCCGAAGUUCCAGGGACCCUUCUGUCUCUGCCUCCCAGCUCUGGAGUUACAGGCACAUGUGGCCACAGCUGGCUGUAGCAGGCUUUUUUGGAGCGCCAGCCCUCAAAUCAUGGCACUUAUUAUGACCUGUUAAGAAGCCUCUCUCUGCCCAGCUCUAACUUUUUAAGGGAACAAUGCGUCUCCUUUACUGUUCCAGUCCAGUCAACAUCUAAAUGCUUCUCCCUUGUUCUCAACUUAUGAGAGGAAUUUUUGCAUCGCACUUGAAGGCAAAACAGCAGCAGUAUUUACUGAAAGCUGGGCAAGAGAUUUGCCCUUAUGUUGUCUUCCAUCAGUAUCGUCUGUCUGGCAGGCUAAGGCUUGCAACCUGAUUUCACACCCAAGUACAUGUUAGAUGCACUAGAAAACAUCGUUCACAAAACAUAAAAUUUAGCUGGCUACUCUCAACCGAAGCUUGUGAGUGUACUGUGGGGGAGGUAUUAAUGCACACUUGCACACACACACACAUACACAGGUUGAGGCCAGAGGAUAACCUCAGAUAUCAGUCCUCUGGCACUGUCCAUCAUUUUGCAAGACGGCAAGGCUGGCUGGCCAGUGAGCUCCAGGGACCUGUUUGUCUCAGACUCUCCAGUGAUGGCAUUACAAACUUGAGCGUUCAUAUCCGGCAUUUUUUUUUUAUGUGAG